rnacentral:rRNA from 1 species
AUUGAACGCUGGCGGCAGGCCUAACACAUGCAGGUCGAACGGUAACAGGAAGCAGCUUGCUGCUUCGCUGACGAGUGGCGGACGGGUGAGUAAUGUCUGGGAAACUGCCUGAUGGAGGGGGAUAACUACUGGAAACGGUAGCUAAUACCGCAUAACGUCGCAAGACCAAAGAGGGGGACCUUCGGGCCUCUUGCCAUCGGAUGUGCCCAGAUGGGAUUAGCUAGUAGGUGGGGUAACGGCUCACCUAGGCGACGAUCCCUAGCUGGUCUGAGAGGAUGACCAGCCACACUGGAACUGAGACACGGUCCAGACUCCUACGGGAGGCAGCAGUGGGGAAUAUUGCACAAUGGGCGCAAACCUGAUGCAGCCAUGCCGCGUGUAUGAAGAAGGCCUUCGGGUUGUAAAGUACUUUCAGCGGGGAGGAAGGGAGUAAAGUUAAUACCUUUGCUCAUUGACGUUACCCGCAGAAGAAGCACCGGCUAACUCCGUG